rnacentral:sRNA from 1 species
CGCAUCUUCAUUACUGUAAUCCUCAUUCCAGUCUGGUUCUUCUGCUUCUUCUUCUUCUUCUUCAGAAUACUGAGAUUUCAAAAGGCUUUCUUCACUGUUUUGCUUUGAAUAUU